AGUUAAGUUAAGUCUAGUUAAGUCUUGUCAUAGUCAGCUCCAAAAAGGGUUUUGCUUGAGUUGGAUUCUAAAAAAAUCGAAUAAAAAAUGAACAACAACGAAUCGAUCCCUAUUAAACUUGAAAAUUCCAAUAUCAUCAGCAUCGAUCUUACUAGCGACGAUGAAUUAGAGGAAACACGGAAAGUGGUCGUCGCUGAAUGUCGGAUCUGCUUAGAAAUGGCGGAGGUGCCAGUGGCCACUCUCUGUGGCCACAUCUAUUGCAUGAACUGCCUGAUCAAAGCCCUGGAAGACUGUGCCACCUGUCCGGUGUGUCGCCAAUCAAGAAACUUUAUUCGUCUCUACUACUAAUUUCAAAAUUGUUUUAUGUUGCGUUAAUUUUCAUUAUGUUGCUGUUAACUUGUUGUUUCAACUUGGAAAAAAGGGUAUCCAUCUGGCGUUGUUGCCUUGCCCCAACAGUGAUUGCCUCCCGUGGCGUAUUUAAAUGAGGAUUCCGUAAAAUCCAUUUAAAGGUCCAACCACGGACGCUGCUGCUCCUCCUGCCAAAGCACAGCCGCUCCUGGCCAAACUCCAUAUGAAUGAACUUAUUUCCGAAUAUUUUCUCCAACGCAUUGAGUGCUUAACAGGUUCUCGUCUCCUUCGAACGGAAAUAACUGCCUGGGCGCCCCAUCGAUUCCGGUAGGUUCUCCUUUUCCCCAUCCGACUCGUUCUGUCACGUCAUUGUGGCUUCAUCUCCAUUUCCAAUCCCAUUUCCAUUGCCAUCCCAGGCAUCAGCCGGCAGGAGCUUAGGGCACAUUUUUUGCCAAUGAAAUAAAUGCAUUAAAAUGA